rnacentral:tRNA from 1 species
UCCUUGGUGUUCGAGUAGUUAGGACUCAGCAUUUUCACUGCUGAGGCCUGGGUUCAAUCCCUGGUCUGGGAA